CCCCUAGAUGUUCUGGGCCGCACGCGCGCUACACUGAACAGUUCAACAAGUCUUAACCUUGGCCGAUAGGUCUGGGUAAUCUUUGAACGCUGUUCGUGAUUGGGAUAGACCUUUGCAAUUAUGGGUCUUCAACGAGGAAUUCCUAGUAAACACAAGUCAUCAGCUUGCAUUGAUUACGUCCCUGCCCUUUGUACACACCGCCCGUCGCACCUACCGAUUGAAUGGUCCGGUGAAGCCUCCGGAUUGGCGCGCACCUCGGUGCCGCCGAGAAGUUGGCUAAACCUUACCAUUUAGAGGAAGGUGAAGUCGUAACA
rnacentral:rRNA from 1 species